GUGUCAGCAGCCGCGGUAAUACGUAGGGUGCGAGCGUUAAUCGGAAUUACUGGGCGUAAAGCGUGCGCAGGCGGUGGCUCAAGCCAGGCGUGAAAUCCCCGGGCUUAACCUGGGAAUGGCGUUUGGGACUGGGUCGCUAGAGUGUGGCAGAGGGAGGUGGAAUUCCACGUGUAGCAGUGAAAUGCGUAGAGAUGUGGAGGAACACCGAUGGCGAAGGCAGCCUCCUGGGCCAGCACUGACGCUCAUGCACGAAAGCGUGGGGAGCAAACAGGAUUAGAUACCCUGGUAGUCCACGCCCUAAACGAUGUCAACUGGUUGUUGGGGAAGGAAACUUCCUUAGUAACGAAGCUAACGCGUGAAGUUGACCGCCUGGGGAGUACGGCCGCAAGGUUAAA
rnacentral:rRNA from 1 species